AGUGCUUAUCCUUGGAACCCAGCCACCAUGCUGUGAGGAAGCCCAAACUACUCCACGUAAAGGGAGCUCAUGGAGAAGCCUCCGGUAGGUGUUCCUGCCAAGAGAUGAGCUGAGAGUCCAACCAACAGCAACAUCGACUGCCAGACACGAUGCACCAAAUAGAGAGUAAAUAUCAGCUUCAUGAAUGAAUAAUGAAAAUGGAGAGAUAACUGAAUGAAUCAUACUACUCAUCAUUAGAAGAGUUAUAUUCACCAGAAACCCACUAAGACCCCACGAGAGAAAAAUAUAUAUAUCUCAAGAAAGAAAAAAUCCAGCACCUACGGCAUAAUGUAAGGAGAGAAUGCUCCAGCAAAAUCUAACUUGCACAAUAAAUCUGUUCUGUCAGAUCCUUGACCGGUAUGUUUAUGUUGACCUCUUUCCGUUUGAAGAGAGAGGAAAGAAACUGGUGUUGAUCAAAGGUUACAGCAGAAUAAAAAAUAUACUGGGACACGAAAUUGUGACAUGUAUUUCCCCCACCAGUCAGGACUCUAUGUUCAAUAUUUUUAUUUCAUUAUGCUUACAAAAGCAAAUGAAUGUCCCUUUGUAUUUCCUUAAGAAUGAAAAGAUGAAUGUUUCUUUCUUUGCAAGUUCCAUGGAAGCUAA
rnacentral:lncRNA from 10 species